rnacentral:rRNA from 1 species
GAUGAACGCUGGCGGCGUGCCUAAUACAUGCAAGUCGAGCGAAUGGAUUAAGAGCUUGCUCUUAUGAAGUUAGCGGCGGACGGGUGAGUAACACGUGGGUAACCUGCCCAUAAGACUAGGAUAACUCCGGGAAACCGGGGCUAAUACCGGAUACCAUUUUGAACCGCAUGGUUCGAAAUUGAAAGGCGGCUUCGGCUGUAAAUUAUGGAUGGACCCGCGUCGCAUUAGCUAGUUGGUGAGGUAACGGCUCACCAAGGCAACGAUGCGUAGCCGACCUGAGAGGGUGAUCGGCCACACUGGGACUGAGACACGGCCCAGACUCCUACGGGAGGAAGCAGUAGGGAAUCUUCCGCAAUGGACGAAAGUCUGACGGAGCAACGCCGCGUGAGUGAUGAAGGCUUUCGGGUGGUAAAACUCUGUUGUUAGGGAAGAACAAGUGCUAGUUGAAUAAGCUGGCACCUUGACGGUACCUAACCAGAAAGCCACGGCUAACUACGUGCCAGCAGCCGCCGUAA